UAUACCCGGGAGAAGGAAAUGCUACACAGAGAAGCCAAGAUGAAUCUGAACAGACAGGCUUUGUCAGUUCCACAGAUUCCAUAAAAGUUAACUCUAGAGCAGAGAAUGAUGCCGCAGUCAGGUUAACAUCCAAUAUUGGCAAUCAGAAGAAAUAUCAGAGUCUUGCUCCAUCACCCAGGCUGCUGUGCAGUGGCGCGAUCUUGGCUCACUGCAAGCUCCACCUCCCAGGUUCGCACCAUUCUCCUGCCUCAGCCUCCCAAGUAGCUGGGACUACAGGAGCCCACCACCAUGCCCGGCUAAUUUUUUUUGUAUUUUUAGUAGAGAUGGGGUUUCACUGUGUUAGCCACGAUGGUCUCGAUUUCCUGACCUCGUGACCUGCCCGCCUCGGCCUCCCAAAGUGCUGGGAUUACAGGCAUGAGCCACUGCACCCGGCCGUAAUUGUUCUUUUGGUGUUAAGCAAUGGUAAAAGAACUGACUGAAAAUAAGAAUAUUAAAAAGUUUCUCUGCUAAAAACA
rnacentral:lncRNA from 1 species